rnacentral:rRNA from 1 species
GAGCGAACGCUGGCGGCAGGCCUAACACAUGCAAGUCGAACGAACCUUUCGGGGUUAGUGGCGGACGGGUGAGUAACACGUGGGAACGUGCCUUUAGGUUCGGAAUAACUCAGGGAAACUUGUGCUAAUACCGAAUGUGCCCUUCGGGGGAAAGAUUAAUCGCCUUUAGAGCGGCCCGCGUCUGAUUAGCUAGUUGGUUGAGGUAAUGGCUCACCAAGGCGACGAUCAGUAGCUGGUCUGAGAGGAUGAUCAGCCACAUUGGGACUGAGACACGGCCCAAACUCCUACGGGAAGCAGCAGUGGGGAAUCUUGCGCAAUGGGCGAAAGCCUGACGCAGCCAUGCCGCGUGAAUGAUGAAGGUCUUAGGAUUGUAAAAUUCUUUCACCGGGGACGAUAAUGACGGUACCCGGAGAAGAAGCCCCGGCUAACUUCGUG